rnacentral:rRNA from 1 species
AGAGUUUGAUCCUGGCUCAGGAUGAACGCUGGCGGCGUGCCUAAUACAUGCAAGUCGAGCGAACGGACGAGAAGCUUGCUUCUCUGAUGUUAGCGGCGGACGGGUGAGUAACACGUGGAUAACCUACCUAUAAGACUGGGAUAACUUCGGGAAACCGGAGCUAAUACCGGAUAAUAUUUUGAACCGCAUGGUUCAAAAGUGAAAGACGGUCUUGCUGUCACUUAUAGAUGGAUCCGCGCUGCAUUAGCUAGUUGGUAAGGUAACGGCUUACCAAGGCAACGAUGCAUAGCCGACCUGAGAGGGUGAUCGGCCACACUGGAACUGAGACACGGUCCAGACUCCUACGGGAGGCAGCAGUAGGGAAUCUUCCGCAAUGGGCGAAAGCCUGACGGAGCAACGCCGCGUGAGUGAUGAAGGUCUUCGGAUCGUAAAACUCUGUUAUUAGGGAAGAACAUAUGUGUAAGUAACUGUGCACAUCUUGACGGUACCUAAUCAGAAAGCCACGGCUAACUACGUGCCAGCAGCCGCGGUAAUACGUAGGUGGCAAGCGUUAUCCGGAAUUAUUGGGCGUAAAGCGCGCGUAGGCGGUUUUUUAAGUCUGAUGUGAAAGCCCACGGCUCAACCGUGGAGGGUCAUUGGAAACUGGAAAACUUGAGUGCAGAAGAGGAAAGUGGAAUUCCAUGUGUAGCGGUGAAAUGCGCAGAGAUAUGGAGGAACACCAGUGGCGAAGGCGACUUUCUGGUCUGUAACUGACGCUGAUGUGCGAAAGCGUGGGGAUCAAACAGGAUUAGAUACCCUGGUAGUCCACGCCGUAAACGAUGAGUGCUAAGUGUUAGGGGGUUUCCGCCCCUUAGUGCUGCAGCUAACGCAUUAAGCACUCCGCCUGGGGAGUACGACCGCAAGGUUGAAACUCAAAGGAAUUGACGGGGACCCGCACAAGCGGUGGAGCAUGUGGUUUAAUUCGAAGCAACGCGAAGAACCUUACCAAAUCUUGACAUCCUUUGACAACUCUAGAGANCAGCGAUGGGGAAAAAAAGAUCCAGCAGUAUUAGAAGAAUCGUUAAAUAUUUCUAUUGAAGAAAUGAAUCGUAUCAUAAAAUUAGUCGAAGAAUUACUUGAAUUGACUAAAGGAGAUGUAAAUGACAUUUCUUCUGAAGCGCAGACCGUGCAUAUUAAUGAUGAAAUUCGCUCGCGAAUACACUCAUUAAAACAAUUACAUCCUGAUUAUCAAUUUGAUACGGAUCUGACAUCUAAAAAUUUAGAAAUUAAAAUGAAGCCUCAUCAAUUUGAACAAUUAUUUUUAAUCUUUAUUGAUAAUGCAAUCAAAUAUGAUGUGAAGAAUAAGAAAAUUAAAGUUAAGACAAGGUUAAAAAAUAAGCAAAAAAUAAUUGAAAUUACAGAUCAUGGAAUUGGUAUUCCAGAGGAAGAUCAAGAUUUCAUUUUUGAUCGCUUUUAUCGAGUGGAUAAAUCUCGUUCAAGAAGUCAAGGCGGUAAUGGACUCGGAUUAUCUAUUGCUCAAAAAAUCAUUCAAUUAAACGGUGGAUCGAUUAAAAUUAAAAGUGAAAUUAACAAAGGAACAACGUUUAAAAUCAUAUUUUAAUUAUGUUUGAGCCGUCAAUCAAAAUCAUAGGAUCAAUUUUUUAAGUGAGGCUGGGACAUAAAUCAAUGUUCUAUGCUUUACGAAGUUAUAUUGGCAGUAGUUGACUGAACGAAAAUGCGCUUGUAACAAGCUUUUUUCAAUUCUAGUCAGGGGCCCAACACAGAAGCUGACGAAAAGUCAGCUUACAAUAAUGUGCAAGUUGGGGAUGGGCCCCAACACAGAGAAUUUCGAAAAGAAAUUCUACAGGCAAUGCAAGUUGGGGUGGGACGACGAAAUAAAUUUUGCGAAAAUAUCAUUUCUGUCCCACUCCCAAGAACGACUAUAAAACAAAUAAACAGUGGUUCUUUAUCAUUUCUGUUGUACGCCCAAAAUUUACAAUAAAAUACAUCUAUAAACCUAGAAGAAUCAACGCUUUUGUUGAUUCUUCUUUUUAGCAGAUAAAUAGGUAAAUCUACUUUAACAAAUAACUAAAUAGUGAUAUUAUUACAUUGUAAGCGUUUCAACAUUUUUGUGGAGGGUGUAAAAUGACUAACGAAAGAAAAGAAGUUUCAGAGGCUCCUGUAAACUUCGGUGCGAAUUUAGGUCUAAUGUUAGAUCUAUAUGAUGACUUUUUACAAGAUCCAUCAUCUGUACCAGAAGAUUUACAAGUCUUAUUCAGCACAAUUAAGAAUGAUGACUCAAUUGUACCAGCUUUAAAAAGUACAAGUAGUCAAAAUAGCGACGGCACAAUUAAACGUGUCAUGCGUUUAAUUGAUAAUAUUCGCCAAUACGGGCAUCUUAAAGCCGAUAUUUAUCCUGUAAAUCCUCCGAAAAGGAAACAUGUACCUAAAUUAGAGAUUGAAGACUUUGAUUUAGAUCAACAGACUUUGGAAGGUAUAUCAGCAGGAAUUGUUUCAGAUCACUUUGCCGACAUUUAUGAUAAUGCUUAUGAAGCAAUUUUAAGAAUGGAAAAACGUUACAAAGGACCAAUUGCAUUUGAGUAUACACAUAUUAAUAACAAUACCGAACGUGGUUGGUUAAAAAGAAGAAUUGAAACGCCAUAUAAAGUAACGUUAAAUAACAACGAAAAAAGGGCACUAUUUAAACAAUUAGCGUAUGUUGAAGGGUUCGAAAAAUAUCUUCAUAAAAACUUCGUUGGUGCAAAGCGUUUUUCAAUUGAAGGGGUAGACGCACUCGUACCGAUGUUACAACGUACUAUUACGAUUGCUGCGAAAGAAGGUAUUAAAAAUAUACAAAUAGGCAUGGCUCACCGUGGACGUUUAAACGUUUUAACGCAUGUCUUAGAAAAACCGUACGAAAUGAUGAUUUCAGAAUUUAUGCAUACAGAUCCAAUGAAAUUCUUACCUGAAGAUGGUAGCUUGCAGUUAACUGCUGGAUGGACUGGUGAUGUGAAAUAUCACCUUGGUGGCAUUAAAACUACUGAUUCAUACGGUACAAUGCAGCGUAUUGCACU